GCGGACGUGGUGCAUGGGGCACCGCUGCAUGGAAUUUCUCUGGAAAAUUCAGCAUUGGAGCAGUUGAAGGGGUUCGACUCCCCGUGUCCGCA